rnacentral:rRNA from 1 species
UACGUAGGGGGCAAGCGUUGUCCGGAUUUAUUGGGCGUAAAGAGCGUGUAGGCGGUUUGGUAGGUCCGCUGUGAAAACUCGAGGCUCAACCUCGAACUUGCGGUGGGUACGGGCAGACUAGAGUGUGGUAGGGGAGACUGGAAUUCCUGGUGUAGCGGUGAAAUGCGCAGGUAUCAGGAGGAACACCGAUGGCGAAGGCAGGUCUCUGGGCCACUACUGGACGCUGAGA